GACGAACGCUGGCGGCGUGCUUAACACAUGCAAGUCGAACGGUACUUAGGACGAUAGUAAUAUUGACCUAAGUAUAGUGGCGGACGGGUGAGUAACGCGUGAGCGACCUACCUUAAAGAGGGGGACAACAUCCGGAAACGGAUGCUAAUACCGCAUAAGACCACGGGGAUGCAUGUCUCUGAGGUCAAAGGAGAAAUCCGCUUUAAGAUGGGCUCGCGUCCCAUUAGCUAGUUGGUGAGGUAACGGCCCACCAAGGCGACGAUGGGUAGCCGACCUGAGAGGGUGAUCGGCCACACUGGAACUGAGACACGGUCCAGACUCCUACGGGAGGCAGCAGUGGGGAAUAUUGGGCAAUGGGCGAAAGCCUGACCCAGCAACGCCGCGUGAUUGAAGAAGGCCUUCGGGUUGUAAAGAUCUGUCCUAUGGGACGAAAAAAAUGACGGUACCAUAGGAGGAAGCCCCGGCUAACUACGUG
rnacentral:rRNA from 1 species